GGGGAGUACGGUCGCAAGACUGAAACUCAAAGGAAUUGACGGGGGCCCGCACAAGCGGUGGAGCAUGUGGUUUAAUUCGACGCAACGCGAAGAACCUUACCAAGACUUGACAUCCUCCUGACAAGAUAUGUAAUGUAUCUCUUUUCUUCGGAGACAGGAGAGACAGGUGGUGCAUGGUUGUCGUCAGCUCGUGUCGUGAGAUGUUGGGUUAAGUCCCGCAACGAGCGCAACCCUUAUUUCUAGUUGCCAGCAGUAAGAUGGGGACUCUAGAGAGACUGCCAGUGACAAACUGGAGGAAGGUGGGGAUGACGUCAAAUCAUCAUGCCCCUUAUGUCUUGGGCUACACACGUGCUACAAUGGUCAGAACAGAGGGAAGCGAAGCCGCGAGGUGGAGCAAAUCCCAGAAAACUGAUCUCAGUUCGGAUUGCAGGCUGCAACCCGCCUGCAUGAAGUCGGAAUCGCUAGUAAUCGCGGGUCAGCAUACCGCGGUGAAUACGUUCCCGGGCCUUGUACACACCGCCCGUCACACCACGAAAGUUAGUAACACCCGAAGCCGGUGGCCUAACCCGCAAGGGAGGGAGCUGUCGAAGGUGGGACUGAUGAUUGGGGUGAAGUCGUAACAAGGUAACCGU
rnacentral:rRNA from 1 species